GGAGGGUGCUAACGUUGCUCGGAAUUACUGGGCGUAAAGCGCAUGUAGGCGGUUUACCAAGUCUCGUGUGAAAUCCCUGGGCUCAACCCAGGAAGUGCACGGGAAACUGGUAGACUAGAGUUCGGUAGAAGUGGGCGGAAUUCCCGGUGUAGAGGUGAAAUUCGUAGAUAUCGGGAGGAACACCAGUAGCGAAGGCGGCUCACUAGGACGAUACUGACGCUGAGAUGCGAAAGCGUGGGGAGCAAACAGGAUUAGAUACCCUGGUAGUCCACGCCGUAAACGAUGGAUACUAGGUGUUGGGGGCUUGACCCCCCUUCAGCGCCGACGCUAACGCAAUAAGUAUCCCGCCUGGGGAGUACGGUCGCAAGACUA
rnacentral:rRNA from 1 species